AAAUGACAUGCAAAAUUCAGGCAGAUUGUGGAAAGCAGAUAACAGAUCCUGCUUCUGAGCGAUGCUCGUGAAGUGGAAAGCUUAAAAUAAUUAAUCGUACUUAACGGUAGUGACUCGACGAGAUUUAAGCUAGAAAUUGCCAUCCCACUCUAUAAUAAGUAGGCAUCAAAGACGAUGAUUGUUAAUCAGGGAACCAAAUUACCAGCGAGAGUAUCUUCGCGAUCUUACGCGUCCAACAAAAUGAAUCAGUGAUCGACCCGUGGUGGUACAA